GGACGAACGCUGGCGGCGUGCCUAAUACAUGCAAGUCGAGCGGACCUUUCGGGGUCAGCGGCGGACGGGUGAGUAACACGUGGGCAAUCUGCCCCGAUACUCUGGGAUAACGCUUGGAAACGAGUGCUAAUACCGGAUGGUCUUCUUGGCCGCAUGGCCGAGAAGGAAAAGACGCGUUCGCGUCGGUGUCGGAUGAGCCCGCGGCGCAUUAGCUAGUUGGUGAGGUAACGGCCCACCAAGGCGACGAUGCGUAGCCGACCUGAGAGGGUGACCGGCCACACUGGGACUGAGACACGGCCCAGACUCCUACGGGAGGCAGCAGUAGGGAAUCUUCCACAAUGGGCGAAAGCCUGAUGGAGCAACGCCGCGUGAGUGAUGAAGGCCUUCGGGUUGUAAAACUCUGUCAUUCGGGACGAACCGGAGUCUGAGGAAAUGCAGACUCUCUGACGGUACCGGAGGAGGAAGCCCCGGCUAACUACGUGCCAGCAGCCGCGGUAAUACGUAGGGGGCAAGCGUUGUCCGGAUUCACUGGGCGUAAAGCGCGCGCAGGCGGUGAUGUAAGUCUGAGGUGAAAACCCGAAGCUCAACUUCGGGACUGCCUUGGAUACUGCGUCACUUGAGGAUAGGAGAGGCAAAGGGGAAUUCCACGUGUAGCGGUGAAAUGCGUAGAGAUGUGGAGGAACUCCUGUGGCGAAGGCGCCUUGCUGGCCUAUUUCUGACGCUGAGGCGCGAAAGCGUGGGGAGCAAACAGGAUUAGAUACCCUGGUAGUCCACGCUGUAAACGAUGAGUGCUAGGUGUAGGUGGGCUCAUACCCAUCUGUGCCGAAGCUAACGCAUUAAGCACUCCGCCUGGGGAGUACGGUCGCAAGACUGAAACUCAAAGGAAUUGACGGGGGCCCGCACAAGCAGUGGAGCAUGUGGUUUAAUUCGAAGCAACGCGAAGAACCUUACCAGGACUUGACAUCCCAUAGACCAGUCUAGAGAUAGACUUUCCCUUCGGGGCUGUGGUGACAGGUGGUGCAUGGUUGUCGUCAGCUCGUGUCGUGAGAUGUUGGGUUAAGUCCCGCAACAAGCGCAACCCUUACUUUGUGUUGCCAGCAUUCAGUUGGGCACUCACAAGGGACUGCCGCCGAUAAGGCGGAGGAAGGUGGGGAUGACGUCAAAUCAUCAUGCCCCUUAUGUCCUGGGCUACACACGUGCUACAAUGGGCGGUACAACGGGAUGCGAAGCCGCGAGGUGGAGCCAAACCCUGAAAACCGUUCGUAGUUCGGAUUGUAGGCUGCAACUCGCCUACAUGAAGCCGGAAUUGCUAGUAAUCGCGGAUCAGCAUGCCGCGGUGAAUCCGUUCCCGGGCCUUGUACACACCGCCCGUCACACCACGAGAAUGGGCAACACCCGAAGUCGGUGGGGUAACCUUUACGGGAGCUAGCCGCCGAAGGUGGGGCCUGUGAUUGGGGU
rnacentral:rRNA from 1 species